ACUCCUCUGUAAAGAGAGCCCAACAUCUCGGGGCUCCCUUUCGUCCUGACCAAACCGGCCCGGUCUUCAAAGGAGAGAUUUAGCGGUUGGCGGGCGGGUUAGGGGGGGUCACCGGUCUAGACUGGCCUCCAUGGUCCAGGGAGCAGCCAUGGGGGGUUACCCCUCACCCCCCCUACCUCACACCCCUGCACCUCUCGCAUAACUGCCGACUGCGGGGGACAUGGGAGAACUGCGUCUGAAAGGGAGCCUGUCUGAGGUUUUUUUUUUUGCCAUUGUGUCUUUUCUUUCAUCGAUCGAGUGAAUAUCGAACCUUCGGCCGGGGGGAAGCAUGAAACCGAUAGCUUAGGUUAUAACGUUCUCAGCCCAAGCAUUUCUUCACGCCGUCGCGGACCUCGUUCGCCCGACCUUGCGGAUCCUGAACAAUGCGAACGCGUGAGAGAUGCUCGAUCAACGGCGGGCUCCACGUCAGCCGACGGCGGCUGAACCCGGACGGGGGUUCGCAGACACCGCGAAGUCAGAGAUAGGAAGAAAAAAAAGGGAAAAAAAGAAUAAAGGAUGUUUUCAGGACCCGUGAACCGUAAUGGAAACAAAGAGGGCUUUUAUCUGGUCCCGAGUUCCAGCCAGCUUAUUCUCCAAGGCCCACGUUAACCCAGAUAAAAACAGAGGAGGAGAGGGUAUAGUAAUAUAUGCUUAUGAAUAUAUUUUAUUUUCAAACCGUAUUGUAAGCAUAUUUUAUUUCAAGGUGGGCUCCAUCGUGUGUGUGCACUCCAUUAUUGGUGUGUGAGAAAUUCUAUGGUUGUUAAUAAAAUCAAAUAAAGAUUUACAACUUACACACA